GAUGAACGCUGGCGGCGUGCCUAAUACAUGCAAGUCGAGCGAACGGACGAGAAGCUUGCUUCUCUGAUGUUAGCGGCGGACGGGUGAGUAACACGUGGAUAACCUACCUAUAAGACUGGGAUAACUUCGGGAAACCGGAGCUAAUACCGGAUAAUAUUUUGAACCGCAUGGUUCAAAGGUGAAAGACGGUCUUGCUGUCACUUAUAGAUGGAUCCGCGCUGCAUUAGCUAGUUGGUAAGGUAACGGCUUACCAAGGCAACGAUGCAUAGCCGACCUGAGAGGGUGAUCGGCCACACUGGAACUGAGACACGGUCCAGACUCCUACGGGAGGUAGCAGUAGGGAAUCUUCCGCAAUGGGCGAAAGCCUGACGGAGCAACGCCGCGUGAGUGAUGAAGGUCUUCGGAUCGUAAAACUCUGUUAUUAGGGAAGAACAUAUGUGUAAGUAACUGUGCACAUCUUGACGGUACCUAAUCAGAAAGCCACGGCUAACUACGUGCCAGCAGCCGCGGUAAUACGUAGGCGGCAAGCGUUAUCCGGAAUUAUUGGGCGUAAAGCGCGCGUAGGCGGUUUUUUAAGUCUGAUGUGAAAGCCCACGGCUCAACCGUGGAGGGUCAUUGGAAACUGGAAAACUUGAGUGCAGAAGAGGAAAGUGGAAUUCCAUGUGUAGCGGUGAAAUGCGCAGAGAUAUGGAGGAACACCAGUGGCGAAGGCGACUUUCUGGUCUGUAACUGACGCUGAUGUGCGAAAGCGUGGGGAUCAAACAGGAUUAGAUACCCUGGUAGUCCACGCCGUAAACGAUGAGUGCUAAGUGUUAGGGGGUUUCCGCCCCUUAGUGCUGCAGCUAACGCAUUAAGCACUCCGCCUGGGGAGUACGACCGCAAGGUUGAAACUCAAAGGAAUUGACGGGGACCCGCACAAGCGGUGGAGCAUGUGGUUUAAUUCGAAGCAACGCGAAGAACCUUACCAAAUCUUGACAUCCUUUGACAACUCUAGAGAUAGAGCCUUCCCCUUCGGGGGACAAAGUGACAGGUGGUGCAUGGUUGUCGUCAGCUCGUGUCGUGAGAUGUUGGGUUAAGUCCCGCAACGAGCGCAACCCUUAAGCUUAGUUGCCAUCAUUAAGUUGGGCACUCUAAGUUGACUGCCGGUGCCAAACCGGAGGAAGGUGGGGAUGACGUCAAAUCAUCAUGCCCCUUAUGAUUUGGGCUACACACGUGCUACAAUGGACAAUACAAAGGGCAGCGAAACCGCGAGGUCAAGCAAAUCCCAUAAAGUUGUCCUCAGUUCGGAUUGUAGUCUGCAACUCGACUACAUGAAGCUGGAAUCGCUAGUAAUCGUAGAUCAGCAUGCUACGGUGAAUACGUUCCCGGGUCU
rnacentral:rRNA from 1 species